AAAAAUUUUAAAAACCCUAAAAAAAUUUUCCUCUUUUCUCCUCAGAGGUAUCCGGCCCUUAGCUCUUGGCCUUCGCCGUGCCGUUUUCGUGGCCGGUGGCCGGAGUAGCGCGAGACAGGCCUUUCAAGCCCUCUCCCCACGACGUCCCUGAGGGCUAGUCCCUCUCAGCCAUGGAACCGAGGAAAAAAAAGAAAGGAGAUACUCCCCGUUCGGCUCCGGUGACAGCGAAUACAGGCUCCGACACCGAUUUACGUUGCGAACAGGUAUUCUCUUCCUCGUUUGUUUCGUUUACGUUAAAUGGGGUUAUAAAAAUAAAUAAAAAAACGUAAAAAAUAAAAUGAAAUAAGAUAAAUGCAAGAACAAAAAUAAAAACUGGUAUCCACCUUUUUUGUUCUUUUAAUCUGCUUAUUUUUGUAUUCAAAAUGUUGUAAAAAAGAGAAGAAGAAGUACAGAAUGUGGUUCGGCCCUUUUUAUAGCCGAUUUGCUUCUAUCUAUUUCCUAUUGUUUUUUCUAUUUUCUUUCUUUUUGCAGGCAUUCGAUGGGCACCAGCGGAUGGGAUAGAGGCGGUGGCGUAGAGGACCAAAGGUCCGAAGCAUGCGGCGCUUGGGAGACCAAAGGUCUGAAGCAGGGGCGGCGCCUAGGGUUUCAGAAACUGAAACCCUAGGCUGAUUUGAACUCUUGGGCCUGGGCUUCUGUAAUCGGGCUUAGGAAGUUUUAAUUAUGUUUAUGCCUUGUUUUUGAAGCCCGGGUAAAAUUGGGCCUCUACAAUGAUCAUACAAAUACAAAGAGAAAUUGAAGUAAACAAGUGAACAAAUAAAAGCAACAUAUGAAAACUAAUUGGAGGAUUCUGAUUUUUGGGGUAAAGGGGAGAGGGAAAGUAAAGAUUUUUGAGGGCUAAGAGGAGGGG
rnacentral:lncRNA from 1 species